AUUGAACGCUGGCGGCAUGCUUUACACAUGCAAGUCGAACGGUAACAGGCCUUCGGGUGCUGACGAGUGGCGAACGGGUGAGUAAUGCAUCGGAACGUACCCAGAGGUGGGGGAUAACGCAGCGAAAGCUGUGCUAAUACCGCAUGUGAUCUGAGGAUGAAAGCGGGGGACCGAGCAGCAAUGUUUGGCCUCGCGCCUUUGGAGCGGCCGAUGUCGGAUUAGCUAGUUGGUGGGGUAAAGGCCUACCAAGGCGACGAUCCGUAGCUGGUCUGAGAGGACGACCAGCCACACUGGGACUGAGACACGGCCCAGACUCCUACGGGAGGCAGCAGUGGGGAAUUUUGGACGAUGGGCGCAAGCCUGAUCCAGCAAUGCCGCGUGCGGGAAGAAGGCCUUCGGGUUGUAAACCGCUUUUGGCAGGAACGAAACGGUGUCCGCUAAUACCGGGCGCUAAUGACGGUACCUGCAGAAUAAGCACCGGCUAACUACGUG
rnacentral:rRNA from 1 species